rnacentral:rRNA from 1 species
AAUGGGCGAAAGCCUGACGCAGCGACGCCGCGUGAGGGAUGAAGGUUCUCGGAUCGUAAACCUCUGUCAGGGGGGAAGAAACCCCCUCGUGUGAAUAAUGCGAGGGCUUGACGGUACCCCCAAAGGAAGCACCGGCUAACUCCGUGCCAGCAGCCGCGGUAAUACGGAGGGUGCAAGCGUUAAUCGGAAUCACUGGGCGUAAAGCGCACGUAGGCGGCUUGGUAAGUCAGGGGUGAAAUCCCACAGCCCAACUGUGGAACUGCCUUUGAUACUGCCAGGCUUGAGUACCGGAGAGGGUGGCGGAAUUCCAGGUGUAGGAGUGAAAUCCGUAGAUAUCUGGAGGAACACCGGUGGCGAAGGCGGCCACCUGGACGGUAACUGACGCUGAGGUGCGAAAGCGUGGGUAGCAAA